AGCAGGACCUUAACCGCCUUCAUUGUGGUGAUUUGUUGGAGCCUUUUAGAUCAGUGGUGUGUCCUUCCUUCUGUUGUUCUGAUAAUUUCUGGUACUUUACACAUAAAUCGUCUGGAUGACAAUCUCAACUCUCCAGUUUAUUCCUCCUGAGAUGAUCCGGUUUCAGUGCUUUCUUGGAUUGGAUCUAUAUGAGGCAUGGGAGGAAUGAGGAAUUGUCACCCAUCUUGCGAAGAAGGGAUUCUGUUUUCAAUUUGAACAGGGGCCCUGAUUUUAACCAUCAGUCACUGGAGAAGACAGAAGUACUAGGUAUCUGAAGCACAGAUCAUUACACUGCCAGACACAGAGCUAUAACUUGGCUUCAUUUUUGUUCUCAGACAGCUUUACAGAGGCAAAGGUUUCACGUGAAACAUACAAGUGCAUUAAAGUACUUAUCUCUUAGUUGA